rnacentral:tRNA from 1 species
GCUUUCGUAGUGCAACUGGUAGCACUUCCAACCUGCUAUCGGAAUAUCCGUGGUUCGAAUCCCGGUUUGAGCA